GAUGAACGCUGGCGGCGUGCCUAAUACAUGCAAGUCGAGCGAACAGACGAUGAUCUUGCUCCUCUGACGUUAGCGGCGGACGGGUGAGUAACACGUGUAUAACCUACCUAUAAGACUGGUAUAACUUCGGGAAACCGGAGCUAAUACCGGAUAAUAUAUUGAACCGCAUGGUUCAAUAGUGAAUGACGGUUUUGCUGUCACUUAUAGAUGGAUCCGCGCCGCAUUAGCUAGUUGGUAAGGUAACGGCUUACCAAGGCAACGAUGCGUAGCCGACAUGAGAGGGUGAUCGGCCACACUGGAACUGAGACACGGUCCAGACUCCUACGGGAGGCAGCAGUAGGGAAUCUGCCGCAAUGGGCGAAAGCCUGACGGAGCAACGCCGCGUGAGUGAUGAAGGUCUUCGGAUCGUAAAACUCUGUUAUUAGGGAAGAACAAAUGUGUAAGUAACUAUGCACGUAUUGACGGUACCUAAUCAGAAAGCCACGGCUAACUACGUG
rnacentral:rRNA from 1 species